UUAUUUUACUGUCUUUUUUUUUUCCUAUGGAAACAGCAGCAGCAGGAAGAAAUGUAUGUGUCCUCCAUUGUAUCCUCUUUGGGUAAGGAGCAGAAGAGAAAUGAAAAAUGCACUUCAGAAAAGAGCAAACUAUCGUGUAGUGUGAAAGGGAAUGUGCUGUGGAGGCCUAGGCCAUUCCAUGGUAAAUGCUCCUGGAUGCAACAUUCGGGCUGGGACAGCAGAGGAAAACAGAUGAUGGCCUGGCACCUGUACCAAGGACCUGGGUGAAUUCCCUCUCAUGGAACAGUGUGAGACACAUAAGCAGAUAAAGCAAAGGAAAAACCA